GUCUGUAGCCUGAUGCUCUGUUAUUAUCUCCUUCUAUCUCUUCAUUUUGUGGGUGUUCCAGAAUGGGAGGUGAUUAAAAAUUUCUCAAAUACCAGUACCCAUAAGAGGCAAAGGAUAACCUUCAUGUGGCUGUGCGAACCUGAGCAGAAGAACUCCCUGAAGCUUCUUUGUGGGGUCUCCUUUAAGCAGCAAAACUUGGCUCUGCCUUAAAACCCUCUUAUAGUUUGUGGAGAAUACAUUGAAUAGGAGCUUUUUUUUUUGAGCCGAGUACUUCUUGUGUUGCCUAGGCCGGCCUCAAACUCUUGCACCCAAACAAUCUGCCUCAGCCUCCCAAACAUCAUGUAGAACUUCAGUCUACCUAACAGCCCUUUCUCUCAUCACCACCUCAUAGUUACCCUUUAUCUACCGCUCACCCCGAGGAACGGGCACAGAACUUUCUCUCCUCUAAAAAUCUCAUCAAUUCAGCAAAAGCAGUCUUUUAAAAAGUCACAAGAAAAUGCUGCUUCCAAAUCCUGGUAAUGUUUGUUUGAUUAAGGACUUCAGGUAU
rnacentral:lncRNA from 1 species